GUGCUCACUUCGGCAGCACAUAUACUAAAAUUGGAAUGAUACAGAGAAGAUUAGCAUGGGCCCUGUGCAAAAACAUUUUUUUUAGAAGCUUUCAAUUAGAAA